rnacentral:misc_RNA from 1 species
GAUGAAGAACGUAGCGAAAUGCGAUAAGUAAUGUGAAUUGCAGAAUUCAGUGAAUCAUCGAAUCUUUGAACGCACCUUGCGCCCUUUGGCCAUUCCGAAGGGCAUGCCUGUUUGAGUAUCAUGAACACCCCAACUCUUCAUGGUUUUCCGUGAUGAGCUUGGACUUUGGGGGUCUUGCUGGCCUAUGGUCAGCUCCUCUAAAAUAAAUCAGCUUGCCAGUGUUUGGUGGGUAUCACAGGUGUGAUAACUAUCUACGCUUGUGGUUUUCCACCAGGUAACCUUCAGCAGUGGAGGUUCGCUGGAGCUCACAGAUGUGUCUCUCCUCAGUGAGGACAGCUCUUUGAAUGUUUGAUCUCAAAUCAGGUAGGACUACCCGCUGAACUUAAGCAUAUCAAUAAGCGGAGGA